rnacentral:rRNA from 1 species
AUUAGACGAAUCAUCUGGAAAGAUGAAUCAAAGAAGGUAAUAAUCCUGUAGUCGAAAAUGUUGUCUCUCUUGAGUGGAUCCUGAGUACGACGGAGCACGUGAAAUUCCGUCGGAAUCUGGGAGGACCAUCUCCUAAGGCUAAAUACUCUCUAGUGACCGAUAGUGAACCAGUACCGUGAGGGAAAGGUGAAAAGCACCCCGGAAGGGGAGUGAAAUAGAACCUGAAACCGUGUGCUUACAAGUAGUCAGAGCCCGUUAAUGGGUGAUGGCGUGCCUUUUGUAGAAUGAACCGGCGAGUUACGAUUUGAUGCAAGGUUAAGCAGUAAAUGUGGAGCCGUAGCGAAAGCGAGUCUGAAUAGGGCGUUUAGUAUUUGGUCGUAGACCCGAAACCAGGUGAUCUACCCUUGGUCAGGUUGAAGUUCAGGUAACACUGAAUGGAGGACCGAACCGACUUACGUUGAAAAGUGAGCGGAUGAACUGAGGGUAGCGGAGAAAUUCCAAUCGAACCUGGAGAUAGCUGGUUCUCUCCGAAAUAGCUUUAGGGCUAGCCUCAAGUGAUGAUUAUUGGAGGUAGAGCACUGUUUGGACGAGGGGCCCCUCUCGGGUUACCGAAUUCAGACAAACUCCGAAUGCCAAUUAAUUUAACUUGGGAGUCAGAACAUGGGUGAUAAGGUCCGUGUUCGAAAGGGAAACAGCCCAGACCACCAGCUAAGGUCCCAAAAUAUAUGUUAAGUGGAAAAGGAUGUGGCGUUGCCCAGACAACUAGGAUGUUGGCUUAGAAGCAGCCAUCAUUUAAAGAGUGCGUAAUAGCUCACUAGUCGAGUGACACUGCGCCGAAAAUGUACCGGGGCUAAACAUAUUACCGAAGCUGUGGAUUGUCCUUUGGACAAUGGUAGGAGAGCGUUCUAAGGGCGUUGAAGCAUGAUCGUAAGGACAUGUGGAGCGCUUAGAAGUGAGAAUGCCGGUGUGAGUAGCGAAAGACGGGUGAGAAUCCCGUCCACCGAUUGACUAAGGUUUCCAGAGGAAGGCUCGUCCGCUCUGGGUUAGUCGGGUCCUAAGCUGAGGCCGACAGGCGUAGGCGAUGGAUAACAGGUUGAUAUUCCUGUACCACCUAUA